rnacentral:tRNA from 1 species
GGAAUAUUGCUCAGUUGGUAGAGUGCUUGCUUCUCAUGCAAAAGGCCCUGGGUUCAAUUUCCAUCACCA